UACGUAGGGUGCAAGCGUUGUCCGGAAUUAUUGGGCGUAAAGAGCCCGUAGGCGGUCUGUCGCGUCGGAUGUGAAAAUCCAGGGCUCAACCCUGGACCUGCAUUCGAUACGGGCAGACUAGAGUUCGGCAGGGGAGACUGGAAUUCCUGGUGUAGCGGUGAAAUGCGCAGAUAUCAGGAGGAACACCGGUGGCGAAGGCGGGUCUCUGGGCCGAUACUGACGCUGAGGAGCGAAAGCGUGGGGAGCGAACAGG
rnacentral:rRNA from 1 species